GGGCUUCACUGCCCUAGGAGCCUGGGGUGGAGGCUAGGAGCUUCACUCGCUUGCUGGGACCUGCUCACCUUCUUGGCCCUAGGAGCCUGGGAUGUAGUGGGGGAGAUUCCUUCCUGUUCCUUGGACAAGCUGGGCUUCACUGCCCUAGGACCCUGGAAUGGAGGCUGGGGAGCUUCCCUCCCGGUGCUAGGACCUGCUUACUUUCUUGGACCUAGGAGCUUGGGAUGGCAUCACAGGAGCUUCCCUUCUGGGGCUGGGACCGGCUCACCUUCUUGGCACCAGGAGCCUGGGUUGGCAGUGGGGUAGCUUCCUUCUGGGUGCUAGGACCUGUUGAGCGUCACUGUUCUAGGAGCCUGGGAUGGAGGCGGGGAUCUUCCUUCCGGGUGCUGGGGCCAGCUGAGUUUCACUGCCCUAGGAGCCUGGGAUAGAGGUGGGGAGCUUUCUACUGGGUGCUGGGACCGGCUCACUUUCUUGGCCCUAGGAGCCUGGGAUGGCAGUUGGGGAGCUUCCUUCCUGGUGGUGGGACUGGGUGAGCAUCACUACCCCAGCAGCCUGGCAUGGAGGCUGGGCAGCUUCCUUCUGGGUGCGGGAAACGGCUGAGCUUCACUGCCCUAGGAGUCUGGGAUGCAGGCGGGGAGCUUCCUUUCUCAUGCUGGGACCAGCCUGGCUUCACUGUCCUAGGAUCCUGGGAUGGAGGAGAGGAGCUUCCCUUCUGGUGCUGGGACCAGCUCACCUUCUUGACCCUAGGAGCCAGGGAUGGCAGCCACGGAACUUCCUUCCAGGUGCUACAACCAGCUGUGCUUCACUGCCCUAGGAGCCUAGGAUGGAGGUGGGGAGCUUCCUUCCCGAUGCUGGGACCAGCUGAGCUUCACUGCCCUAGGAGCCUGGGAUGGAGGCGGGGAGCUUCAUUCUUGGUGCUGGGACCAGCUGAGCUUCUUGGCCCUAGGAGCUUGGGAUGGCAGCACGGAAGCUUCCUUCCAGGUGCUUGCACUGGCUGAGCUUCACUGCCCUAGGAGCCUGAGAUGGAGGCGGGGAGCUUCCUUCCCGGUGCUGGGACCAGAGGGCCUUCACUGCCCUAGGAGCCUGGGGUGGAGACUAGGAGCUUCCCUUCUGGUGCUGGGACCUCCUCACAUUCUUGGCCCUAGUAGCAUGGGAUGGAGGCUGGGGAAGCUUCCCUUCUGGUCCUUGGACAAGCUGGCCUUCACUGCCCUAGGAGCCUGGGAUGGAGGCUGGGGAGCUUCCUUCCAGGUGCUUGGACCAGCUCACCUUCUUGGCCCUAGGAGCCUGUGAUGGCAGCAGGGGAGCUUCCUUCCAGGUGCUGGGAUCAGCUGAGAUUCGCUGCCCUAGGAGCCUGGGAUGGAGGCGGGGAGCUUCCUUCCGGGUGCUGGGACCAGCUGAGCU
ensembl:lncRNA